AGAAAUGUAUAUGCAUUGGAAAUGCAUGAAGUCAUCACAUUUACCUGAGUAGACAAAUUGUAGAGUCCCACAUCAGUGUAAGAGUAAGGUAGUGGGGAGUCAUUAAUUUGUUUCUCUGGUUUAUUUUCCUAAGAUUUGGGACUUAGAAAGCAUUUUCUCAUACAGUGCUCCAAAUGGUGAGUGGGUUCACAGGCUAGAUGGGGAUGUUAUACUAUAGAAGGUACUAGGCCUCUAAUUCCAGCUUCCAGGGUACUUGUAGUUAAUAUCCCCAAAAUGUAAGGCUGUGCUGGUAGUUUGAGACUCUAAUCACUGUUUAACCAUGGGUUUUUUUUAUUUUGUUUUGUUUGAAAUACAUUCAGACAUCCAAUUUGGGAGGUCAGAAACACACUUCCCCUCUAUUGUAGUUAUAUGGCGCGUACCCACCACCUCACCUCUCCUACCUUCCUCAUACUGGGAGACAAGUCUUCCCCAGAGUUUUGGAUCUCGGCAGGCGGACAUGCCAUCUUACACACUACCCUCGACUGAAUGUGAAACAACCUGAGAAACACAGACUAUUCAAUGGGAGAAGGGAGAAGAGAGAAGAGGAGUGAAGGAGGUAGAUAAAAAUCCCCCUUGGCUAUGGAGAAAAGGCCGAGGGUUUCAGUUCCCUUGUCUGAGGCAAAGAUGGCACAGAGCCCCAGGAAUAGGCUUAAAAUAGUGAUCCUGGCAGGGAUACAAGACUUCUGAGAUUGAUCAGAAAAGCUUCCGGCUUAUGAGAUCUCCAGUGUCUUUUUUCAGCCAGCAACUGGAAUAGCAGGGCUCAUCCUAUCACCACUCAAAAAGUAUUUGGGGCUUGUGUUUUGGAUCCAGCUGUUUAAGAAGAAUGACUGAGAAGGAAAUUAGGCCAUAAUUCUAGAAGCCAGAAAACUUUUGGUGGCAAUUUGGAGAAAUAUUAAAUGAAAAUAUCUUCAACUAGGAGUGAAGAAAGCUCUGGAAGGAAUGUGGAACAGUGAAAGAAGAGAAAAGCUUUACCUUGAUAGAAUCAGGACCACCAACGGACCUUUUCUGUCUCUAGCUUGGAACCUGGGAUCAGAAAGCAGCUUCAAGGCGGGCUUUCAAGGCUGGAGAGGAAGCCAUUACACUUUUAAAAACUGAUGAAUACUGAGGCCCAAUCUGCAUGAGAUUUUGCAAAGCAAAGUCAUGUAGAUUUCUCAUUAUGGAAGUUGCUGAUCCCAGAGCAUUCUCAUCCAAAAGGAAGGAAAUGAGGAUGGGCAGAAGACAGGCCACCAGCUGAGAGCCUGGAAAGAACAUUCACCUUCUGCACUUCGUCUUUUCUCCUUCACAUGUUCUUGAGCUGCACAGAUAAUCUGCCUUACCACUUCAAGAGAAGCCAGCUGAAUGGAAGGUGAUUCUCGGGUCAAAAUUACUCGAUGUAGUACAUUCAACAACUCGAUACCCAAGUCCUAUCACAGAAAACAGGAAGCUGGGAGGCAAAUUCUGAAGGCAAAGUUAGGAGAGCAAAAUCCUGAAGCGCAGCAAGCCAGAGCCUACUUAAUGUGCCAAGAUCUGCGUGGACUAAGUCAAGCAGCCCGUCUGAUGAAAUCGACCCGUUUCCGACACACUCUUCUGAACAGAUGUGAUGGAGCCUGCUAACCAACUGGUGAACUGCUCUGGAUUCCCUAACUGCCAGCCAUCAGAAGCUGCCUUUGAAUCAUGAGAGGCUGCUUAAUGCACCAGUCAAAAAAACACCAGU